rnacentral:rRNA from 1 species
UGGCGACCAUAGCAUUGUGGACCCACCUGAUUCCAUGCCGAACUCAGAAGUGAAACACAAUAGCGCCGAUGGUAGUGUGGGGUUCCCCCAUGUGAGAGUAGGACAUCGCCAGGCU